AACGCGAAGAACCUUACCUGGUCUUGACAUCCACAGAACUUUCCAGAGAUGGAUUGGUGCCUUCGGGAACUGUGAGACAGGUGCUGCAUGGCUGUCGUCAGCUCGUGUUGUGAAAUGUUGGGUUAAGUCCCGCAACGAGCGCAACCCUUAUCCUUUGUUGCCAGCGGUCCGGCCGGGAACUCAAAGGAGACUGCCAGUGAUAAACUGGAGGAAGGUGGGGAUGACGUCAAGUCAUCAUGGCCCUUACGACCAGGGCUACACACGUGCUACAAUGGCAUAUACAAAGAGAAGCGGCCUCGCGAGAGCAAGCGGACCUCAUAAAGUAUGUCGUAGUCCGGAUUGGAGUCUGCAACUCGACUCCAUGAAGUCGGAAUCGCUAGUAAUCGUAGAUCAGAAUGCUACGGUGAAUACGUUCCCGGGUCUUGUACACACCG
rnacentral:rRNA from 1 species